UCGAGCGCGAACGUUCCUUCGGGAACAAGUAGAGCGGCGGACGGGUGAGUAACGCGUGGGAAAUUGCCCAGUAGUGGGGGACAACAUUCGGAAACGGAUGCUAAUACCGCAUACGCCCUACGGGGGAAAGCAGGGGAUCUUCGGACCUUGCGCUAUUGGAUAUGCCCGCGUCGGAUUAGCUAGUUGGUGAGGUAAUGGCUCACCAAGGCAACGAUCCGUAGCUGGUCUGAGAGGAUGAUCAGCCACACUGGGACUGAGACACGGCCCAGACUCCUACGGGAGGCAGCAGUGGGGAAUAUUGGACAAUGGGCGCAAGCCUGAUCCAGCCAUGCCGCGUGUGUGAAGAAGGCCCUAGGGUUGUAAAGCACUUUCAGUAGGGAGGAAGGCCUUAAAGUUAAUACCUUUGAGGAUUGACGUUACCUACAGAAGAAGCACCGGCUAACUCCGUGCCAGCAGCCGCGGUAAUACGGAGGGUGCGAGCGUUAAUCGGAAUUACUGGGCGUAAAGCGCGCGUAGGCGGUUAGUUAAGCUGGAUGUGAAAGCCCCGGGCUCAACCUGGGAACUGCAUUCAGAACUGGCUGGCUAGAGUACGAGAGAGGGUAGUGGAAUUUCCUGUGUAGCGGUGAAAUGCGUAGAUAUAGGAAGGAACAUCAGUGGC
rnacentral:rRNA from 1 species